AAGGACAUUACGUUUAACGAAAUAAAUGUGAUUUAUUUGGUAAUUUGUGUUGUUGGUGUUUGGGUGAUCUCUUACCAUCACGCAUAAUUAGUUUAUACAACUUUAUUGUAAUUUGUUUAAUAUGAUCGAUUAGAUUAACUUUUAAGAAUAUUUUGGGUUUGUGGUUUAAUCAUCUAAGUAAACUAAAGGAUAAGACCAUGCACCAUAAUAUUCGUAGUAGAUUGGCGUCGUAAUCAGAUUGUCGAAUUCGAGAUUGGUUGAGUGGUCAUACAUAUCAAAUAGUUUAACUGGAAUGGUCACUUCCCGGAACAUGUUUUAUUAGUUUUCAAUAUAAUAAUUAUUUUAAAUAAUACAAUAUUAGAUGACUAAAUAUAAUACGGAAAAUGACAAAGUUAUAAAUUAUCUAUGUCAUCAUUUGCUAACUGUAAAUUAACAAAGUUUUAAGAAAAUUAUGUAUUGUAA
rnacentral:lncRNA from 1 species